rnacentral:rRNA from 1 species
GUGGGGAAUCUUCCGCAAUGGACGAAAGUCUGACGGAGCAACGCCGCGUGAGUGAAGAAGGUUUUCGGAUCGUAAAGCUCUUUCGUCAGGGACGAACGUAUUUCUUGUAAAUAAUGAGAGAUAGUGACGGUACCUGAAUAAGAAGCCACGGCUAACUACGUGCCAGCAGCCGCGGUAAUACGUAGGUGGCAAGCGUUGUCCGGAAUUAUUGGGCGUAAAGCGCGCGCAGGCGGGAUAUCAAGUCUGUCUUAAAAGUGCGAGGCUCAACCUCGUGAGGGGACAGAAACUGGUAUUCUUGAGUGUCGGAGAGGAAAGUGGAAUUCCAAGUGUAGCGGUGAAAUGCGUAGAGAUUUGGAAGAACACCAGUGGCGAAGGCGACUUUCUGGACGAUGUCUGACGCUGAGGCGCGAAAGUUAGGGGAGCGAACGGGAUUAGAUACCCGUGUAGUCC